rnacentral:rRNA from 1 species
GGGUUGUGAGGUUAAGCGACUAAGCGUACACGGUGGAUGCCCUGGCAGUCAGAGGCGAUGAAGGACGUGCUAAUCUGCGAUAAGCGUCGGUAAGGUGAUAUGAACCGUUAUAACCGGCGAUUUCCGAAUGGGGAAACCCAGUGUGUUUCGACACACUAUCAUUAACUGAAUCCAUAGGUUAAUGAGGCGAACCGGGGGAACUGAAACAUCUAAGUACCCCGAGGAAAAGAAAUCAACCGAGAUUCCCCCAGUAGCGGCGAGCGAACGGGGAGGAGCCCAGAGCCUGAAUCAGUGUGUGUGUUAGUGGAAGCGUCUGGAAAGGCGCGCGAUACAGGGUGACAGCCCCGUACACAAAAAUGCACAUGCUGUGAGCUCGAUGAGUAGGGCGGGACACGUGGUAUCCUGUCUGAAUAUGGGGGGACCAUCCUCCAAGGCUAAAUACUCCUGACUGACCGAUAGUGAACCAGUACCGUGAGGGAAAGGCGAAAAGAACCCCGGCGAGGGGAGUGAAAAAGAACCUGAAACCGUGUACGUACAAGCAGUGGGAGCACGCUUAGGCGUGUGACUGCGUACCUUUUGUAUAAUGGGUCAGCGACUUAUAUUCUGUAGCAAGGUUAACCGAAUAGGGGAGCCGAAGGGAAACCGAGUCUUAACUGGGCGUUAAGUUGCAGGGUAUAGACCCGAAACCCGGUGAUCUAGCCAUGGGCAGGUUGAAGGUUGGGUAACACUAACUGGAGGACCGAACCGACUAAUGUUGAAAAAUUAGCGGAUGACUUGUGGCUGGGGGUGAAAGGCCAAUCAAACCGGGAGAUAGCUGGUUCUCCCCGAAAGCUAUUUAGGUAGCGCCUCGUGAAUUCAUCUCCGGGGGUAGAGCACUGUUUCGGCAAGGGGGUCAUCCCGACUUACCAACCCGAUGCAAACUGCGAAUACCGGAGAAUGUUAUCACGGGAGACACACGGCGGGUGCUAACGUCCGUCGUGAAGAGGGAAACAACCCAGACCGCCAGCUAAGGUCCCAAAGUCAUGGUUAAGUGGGAAACGAUGUGGGAAGGCCCAGACAGCCAGGAUGUUGGCUUAGAAGCAGCCAUCAUUUAAAGAAAGCGUAAUAGCUCACUGGUCGAGUCGGCCUGCGCGGAAGAUGUAACGGGGCUAAACCAUGCACCGAAGCUGCGGCAGCGACGCUGAUGCGUUGUUGGGUAGGGGAGCGUUCUGUAAGCCUGCGAAGGUGUGCUGUGAGGCAUGCUGGAGGUAUCAGAAGUGCGAAUGCUGACAUAAGUAACGAUAAAGCGGGUGAAAAGCCCGCUCGCCGGAAGACCAAGGGUUCCUGUCCAACGUUAAUCGGGGCAGGGUGAGUCGACCCCUAAGGCGAGGCCGAAAGGCGUAGUCGAUGGGAAACAGGUUAAUAUUCCUGUACUUGGUGUUACUGCGAAGGGGGGACGGAGAAGGCUAUGUUGGCCGGGCGACGGUUGUCCCGGUUUAAGCGUGUAGGCUGGUUUUCCAGGCAAAUCCGGAAAAUCAAGGCUGAGGCGUGAUGACGAGGCACUACGGUGCUGAAGCAACAAAUGCCCUGCUUCCAGGAAAAGCCUCUAAGCAUCAGGUAACAUCAAAUCGUACCCCAAACCGACACAGGUGGUCAGGUAGAGAAUACCAAGGCGCUUGAGAGAACUCGGGUGAAGGAACUAGGCAAAAUGGUGCCGUAACUUCGGGAGAAGGCACGCUGAUAUGUAGGUGAAGUCCCUUGCGGAUGGAGCUGAAAUCAGUCGAAGAUACCAGCUGGCUGCAACUGUUUAUUAAAAACACAGCACUGUGCAAACACGAAAGUGGACGUAUACGGUGUGACGCCUGCCCGGUGCCGGAAGGUUAAUUGAUGGGGUCAGCGCAAGCGAAGCUCUUGAUCGAAGCCCCGGUAAACGGCGGCCGUAACUAUAACGGUCCUAAGGUAGCGAAAUUCCUUGUCGGGUAAGUUCCGACCUGCACGAAUGGCGUAAUGAUGGCCAGGCUGUCUCCACCCGAGACUCAGUGAAAUUGAACUCGCUGUGAAGAUGCAGUGUACCCGCGGCAAGACGGAAAGACCCCGUGAACCUUUACUAUAGCUUGACACUGAACAUUGAGCCUUGAUGUGUAGGAUAGGUGGGAGGCUUUGAAGUGUGGACGCCAGUCUGCAUGGAGCCGACCUUGAAAUACCACCCUUUAAUGUUUGAUGUUCUAACGUUGACCCGUAAUCCGGGUUGCGGACAGUGUCUGGUGGGUAGUUUGACUGGGGCGGUCUCCUCCUAAAGAGUAACGGAGGAGCACGAAGGUUGGCUAAUCCUGGUCGGACAUCAGGAGGUUAGUGCAAUGGCAUAAGCCAGCUUGACUGCGAGCGUGACGGCGCGAGCAGGUGCGAAAGCAGGUCAUAGUGAUCCGGUGGUUCUGAAUGGAAGGGCCAUCGCUCAACGGAUAAAAGGUACUCCGGGGAUAACAGGCUGAUACCGCCCAAGAGUUCAUAUCGACGGCGGUGUUUGGCACCUCGAUGUCGGCUCAUCACAUCCUGGGGCUGAAGUAGGUCCCAAGGGUAUGGCUGUUCGCCAUUUAAAGUGGUACGCGAGCUGGGUUUAGAACGUCGUGAGACAGUUCGGUCCCUAUCUGCCGUGGGCGCUGGAGAACUGAGGGGGGCUGCUCCUAGUACGAGAGGACCGGAGUGGACGCAUCACUGGUGUUCGGGUUGUCAUGCCAAUGGCACUGCCCGGUAGCUAAAUGCGGAAGAGAUAAGUGCUGAAAGCAUCUAAGCACGAAACUUGCCCCGAGAUGAGUUCUCCCUGACCCUUUAAGGGUCCUGAAGGAACGUUGAAGACGACGACGUUGAUAGGCCGGGUGUGUAAGCGCAGCGAUGCGUUGAGCUAACCGGUACUAAUGAACCGUGAGGCUUAACCUUACAACGCCGAAG